rnacentral:misc_RNA from 1 species
AUUCCGUAGGUGAGCCUGCGGAAGGAUCAUUAAUGAGUUGUCAUGGGGUUCGAUGCUGGCAGCCAAUUUUUGGAUGCAUGUGCUUGCCCUAACAAUCAUCUUCCAAACACCUGUGCACAUUUUUGAGGGAGUCUUGAGUUGGUUGCCGCUCUUGGGUGAUUUUCUCACAUUCCCUUAAAUCAUUAUACGCUAUUAACAAUGUUGAACGUGCUCUGUGCCGCAAGGCUAUUAAUAUAAUACAACUUUUAACAACGGAUCUCUUGGCUCUC